rnacentral:rRNA from 1 species
ACGUAGGAGGCGAGCGUUAUCCGGAUUCAUUGGGCGUAAAGGGCAAGUAGGCGGUAUGCAAAGUUGGUUGUGACAUCUCCCGGCUCAACUGGGAGGGUGCGGCCAAAACUAGCGUACUAGAGGGCAGAAGAGGGAAGUGGAAUUCCUGGUGUAGCGGUGGAAUGCUCAGAUACCAGGAGGAACACCAGUGGCGAAGGUGACUUUCUGGUCUGCACCUGACGCUGAGAGGCGAAAGCUAGGGGAGCGAACGGGAUUAGAUACCCCGGUAGUCCCU